UGCAGAGGGUGCAAGCGUUAAUCGGAAUUACUGGGCGUAAAGGGUGCGUAGGUGGUUUGUUAAGUCUGAUGUGAAAUCCCCGGGCUCAACCUGGGAAUGGCAUUGGAUACUGGCAGGCUAGAGUGCGGUAGAGGGUGGUGGAAUUCCCGGUGUAGCAGUGAAAUGCGUAGAGAUCGGGAGGAACACCUGUGGCGAAGGCGGCUUUCUGGGCCUUACCUGACGCUGAGACGCGAAAGCGUGGGGAGCGAACCGG
rnacentral:rRNA from 1 species